rnacentral:rRNA from 1 species
AGAGUUUGAUCAUGGCUCAGGAUGAACGCUAGCUACAGGCUUAACACAUGCAAGUCGAGGGGGAAACGACAUCGAAAGCUUGCUUUUGAUGGGCGUCGACCGGCGCACGGGUGAGUAACGCGUAUCCAACCUGCCCAUCACUUGGGGGAUAACCUUGCGAAAGUAAGACUAAUACCCAAUGACGUCUCUAGAAGGCAUCUGAAAGAGAUUAAAGAUUUAUCGGUGAUGGAUGGGGAUGCGUCUGAUUAGCUUGUUGGCGGGGUAACGGCCACCAAGGCGACGAUCAGUAGGGGUUCUGAGAGGAGGUCCCCACAUUGGAACUGAGACACGGUCCAAACUCCUACGGGAGGCA